rnacentral:rRNA from 1 species
GAUGAAUGCUGGCGGCGUGCCUAACACAUGCAAGUCGAGCGGCAGUGCGAGUAGUUUACUACUUGGCGGCGAGCGGCGGACGGCUGAGUAACGCGUGGGAACGUGCCCCAAAGUGAGGGAUAACCGCCCGAAAGGGUGGCUAAUACCGCAUAUGAUCUUCGGAUUAAAGGAUUUAUCCGCUUUGGGAGCGGCCCGCGUUAGAUUAGGUAGUUGGUAGGGUAAUGGCCUACCAAGCCGACGAUCUAUAGCUGGUCUGAGAGGAUGAUCAGCCAGACUGGAACUGAGACACGGUCCAGACUCCUACGGGAGGCAGCAGUGAGGAAUCUUCCACAAUGGGCGAAAGCUUGAUGGAGCAACGCCGCGUGAAGGAUGAAGGCCCUAGGGUCGUAAACUUCUUUUAUAAGUGAAGAAUAUGACGGUAACUUAUGAAUAAGCACCGGCUAACUACGUGCCAGCCGCCGCAGUAA